AUUAGAUACCCUGGUAGUCCACGCCGUAAACGAUGAUUACUAGGUGUAGGUGGGUAUGGACCCAUCGGUGCCGCAGCCAACGCAGUAAGUAAUCCACCUGGGGAGUACGUUCGCAAGAAUGAAACUCAAAGGAAUUGACGGGGACCCGCACAAGCGGUGGAGCAUGUGGUUUAAUCCGAAGCAACGCGAAGAACCUUACCAAGUCUUGACAUCUGGAUGACGAAUCCGUAACGGGAUUUUCUCUUCGGAGCAUCCAAGACAGGUGGUGCAUGGUUGUCGUCAGCUCGUGUCGUGAGAUGUUGGGUUAAGUCCCGCAACGAGCGCAACCCUUAUCUUUAGUAGCCAGCAAGUAAAGUUGGGCACUCUAGAGAGACUGCCGGGGAUAACCCGGAGGAAGGUGGGGAUGACGUCAAAUCAUCAUGCCCCUUAUGAUUUGGGCUACGCACGUGCUACAAUGGCGUAAACAGAGGGAAGCGAGCCUGCGAGGGGGAGCGAAUCCCAAAAAUAACGUCCCAGUUCGGAUUGUAGUCUGCAACCCGACUACAUGAAGCUGGAAUCGCUAGUAAUCGCGGAUCAGAAUGCCGCGGUGAAUACGUUCCCGGGUCUUGUACACACCGCCCGUCACACCAUGGGAGUCGGAAAUGCCCGAAGUCUGUGACCCAACCUUAGGGAGGGAGCAGCCGAAGGCAGGUCGGAUGACUGGGGUGAAGUCGUAACAAGGUACC
rnacentral:rRNA from 1 species